GGAAGCAGUACCCGAGGAGAGAAAAUUAACACAGUGUCUAUGAAACGGGAGUCAAUCCCGUGUCAAGCAGCAUGCUACUAAAUGUAAACCCAGUUUUGCCUUUUCCAGAAUGUCAUGAAAAUGGAAUCAGACCGUAUGUAGCCUUUUGAGGAUAGUGGAUCUCCCCCGCCACCCCAACUCUAGUGAGCUUUCAGAUGAGAUUGUAGCCGCAGAUGACAAUGUUUUCAAAGAACCACCCAGUACUUUCAUCAACAAACCCACAUGCCAGAAGAGCUCAGCAAUAUUAACACUAAAGCCCUGGAAGGCUUAUGUGGCUAGCCCUGGGCUCCCAGUGAGUGAGUCAAUGAAUGUGAUCCUGUCCAGGAAAUAAGUCUCAAAACCUCAAGUUGCACAUCUAUUUGCCACUUUGGACAGUUGGUUGCUAACCAUACUUAAUCAUAAGGCUGUUUAUGAACAUUUCUGCACUAUCAUGACCUUGGCAUCGUUAUAUUCUAGGGAAAAGCCCUGCAAAAGUGGCCAUUAUUUCCAACAACAGAAAAAAAGAUGGAGGCCUAGACAGGUCUGAAUAAGUUGCCUAAGAUUUCACAGAGAAGACUCUUCAGUAUUCCGUCGUGGAAUGGUAAAGAUCUGGCUGCCAGGAUUCAGUAAGAAAAGGAGGAUGCUGGCCUUCUUAUCCAUCAUGUAAAUGUCCUCUGUUUUGAGGAUGGUCCCUCUGUCAUCUACCAUAUCCAGUAUUCUUAACAUAUCCAAAAUAAACAGCCACACACUUAGUGAAAUCAUAUGUGCAUUUUUAAAGAAUAAAUACCUUUAUAUUUCAUUUGUAUAACAUUUUAUUGUUUGCAUAUUGCAUAGUGAAAAGAACAGAGUCAGAAGACUCAUGGUCAGGCUCAACUGCUAACUUGCUGUGUAAAUUGGGUAGAUCUCUUAACCUUGCUAAACUCUUAUUUCCUCAUCUGAAAAAUGGAGAUAAUACUUAUUUUACAGAAUUGCUAAAUACUGAAUGAGAUACUUAUACUGUUUUCCUCUUAGGUAAUUAGUCAAAAUAACUCUAUAGUUUGCUACUGCUAACCCCUUGUUCAUCAUCUCAAUGCUGUUCUCAAUAAAUGCAUUAAGACAACA